rnacentral:lncRNA from 1 species
CUAACUUGUGGCCAGAUCCACAUAUGACAUUCAUAAUUCCAACUGUGGACCGUGUUUCCACUUUAGAUUCUAGACCUCACCAGUAGGCUCUGUUCCUGUUUGAGGGUGACAAUCCUAACUGCUGGCUGGGUGUGUUUAAGAGAGCCACAAUCUCACCUGUGUGCUGGGUCCUGCUGUGACACUCUCUGUGCCACCCAAGGCCUUUAUAUUAUAAGCAUGUGUAGUAAUCCUCUGUGACCUUCGUACAAGUAGGGGAACCAGGACCUUACCAUUUGCCCUAAGCCUAGCUAUGUGAAUUAAUAUAUCUUUUUUUUUUUUUGCUGAUUCCAGAUACAAGAUUCAUCAUCAUGCCUGUGAGCUGGGUCCAAUAAUGAAUCACCAUCCUACCUGUGGCCAAAUGCAUAUAUGACAGUUACAACUCUAACUGCAGACUGCAUCGGCAUGUAAAAUUUAGGUCACCAGUGGGCUCUCUCCAUGUUUGAAUGUGGUGAUUCUAAUGGUCAGUGAGGUGUGCAUAGGAGAGUCACAAUCUCAUCUUCAAAGUCAAGAGCACUUUUGAGUUAUUUA